AUAAUCCUGUGAAUCUAUACAUCCAGGUUUCCACUCUCCAAUUUCUCCAAUGACGAUGAAGAUGUGGUGGAAUAAACAAGGUAGACACCACUUCGGAGGUAGUUUCUAGGCAACGGUGGAAGGGAAAGACAAAGAUUCAAUGAAUUGAGAAGCCGUGCAGGUUUCAGAGCUUGCAGACUGUGCAGAAUAAUUGGACCUUUUCGACAUCAAAUAGAAGAAAAGGCACGUCGGCAACAAUUGAAGGCAUGCCGAUAUCAAUACAAGUUCUGGAAUUCGUACCUAUAUUUUACGUGAAUAGAGGUAAUCAUAUCCCAUUCAAAUGACGAUUCCUGCAUCAUUCAAUCUAAAAUUUACAUGGGACAAUCAAAUUUGCACUCAGACAAUAGUGGAUACACAUUUAAUCGAUCCAAUUGCUAUUCAAUUACCUCAAAAUUUGAUCCUCAAAAUGGUGACUCGGCUGAUUUCGUCAAUUGCAAUUGAUGGCUAAAAAUGGUAGUGAUAGUUCUAGUAAUUGUAUUUUUGGGUUACAUGAUCGACACAAUCCGUGCUCUGUGAAUUUGAGGUGGUGAUGACAUCGGGCUUAGGAUUUUUUGUUGGGUGGUGGUGGUGAUUGUGGUUGUAGUGUGUGGAGAUGGAGGUCAUAAUUGUUGGUGGUUAUGGUAAGGUGUUCAUUUCUGUCCUCUACGGAUAUGAGGUGGUGGAAGUGGCAAGUUUAGGAUUUUUUAUUUUAAUUUUUUUGUUGGGGAUAGUUGUGGUGGAGAUGGAGGUUGUGAUUUUUGUGGUUAUUUUAUGGUGGUUUUGGAGGUGGGUUCAUGGUGGGUUUUGAGGUGAUGGUAGUGCUGGUGAUGGUCUAGGUGGUGGUUGUGGUGUUGGGUUUGGAUUGGGUUGGGGCUAUAUAAAUACAGUUUGUGUCCAAUAAAUUGGGCUAAUCUAUAGCCAAUAAAUAAUUUGCAACCAAUAAAAUAGAUAGUUUAUGAUAUUUGUGCAAUGGUCUGUGACUUGUGCACAAUGGCAUGUGACGUGAAUUGAUAACAUGUCAUAUGUUUUUGUGCACUUGUUAUGGGUUACAUAUCAAUGUUCACAGGUAACAAAUCAAAUAGAAUUUUUCACAUAUCGCUGAUUUAUAUUCCUAUAUCAAUAUUGAUUGGUCAAUUGUUAUUGUUCAUAGGACACAGGUCAUAUAGUAUAGGCCACUGAUGUUCAUUGAUUACAUGUUAUAAUUCACAGUUCAUACUGUAUAUGUUGUGUAUUUUCAUAGAUCACAGGUCAAUAUUAAUAAUAAUUGGUUAUAGCUCGUAGGUCACAUGUUAUAGUUCAUAGUCAUAUGUCACCAUUCACAUAUCACAGGUUAUAUUGUAUAGGUUACGAAUGUUCACAAAUCACUAAUUAUAAUUCACAUGUCAAUAUUAAUUAGUCAUAGCUUAUUGUUCACAUAUUACCUUUAUCGGUAACAGAUCAUUGUCUACAUAUUACAAAUCCAAGAGCAUUGGUCAUAAGCUUGGAAAAAUAUCAUAGGCAAUAGAUCGAUGUAAAUUGAAGAGAAUUGGCCCUAUAUCCUUGAUUUCUCUAAGCUGAAAUUGAAGUUAUUUGUUACGAUGAGUACUCUGUAAAUUUCACUAGGUGCUAUUUUUCAAUUCAAUUUUAAAAAAUAGUUUUAAAUUAU
rnacentral:lncRNA from 1 species